GAUGAAGAACGUAGCGAAAUGCGAUAAGUAGUGUGAAUUGCAGAAUUCAGUGAAUCAUCGAAUCUUUGAACGCACAUUGCGCCCCUUGGUAUUCCAUGGGGCAUGCCUGUUCGAGCGUCAUUUGUACCUUCAAGCUUUGCUUGGUGUUGGGUGUUUGUCCUGAGGGACUCGCCUUAAAGUAAUUGGCAGCCAGUGUUUGGUUUUGAAGCGCAGCACAAGUCGCGAUUCAAGGCUAUACACCAGCUUCCACAAGCCUUUUUCACUUUUGACCUCGCAUCAGGUAGGGAUACCCGCUGAACUUAAGCAUAUCAAUAAGCGGAGGA
rnacentral:misc_RNA from 1 species